ACNGUGGUUANNUNCCCCUGUAUUCAUCGGACGGGUGAGUAACGCGUGAGAAUCUAGCUCUAGGUCGGGGACAACCACUGGAAACGGUGGCUAAUACCGGAUGAGCCGAGAGGUAAAAGAUUAAUUGCCUAGAGAUGAGCUCGCGUCUGAUUAGCUAGUAGGUGUGGUAAGAGCGCACCUAGGCGACGAUCAGUAGCUGGUCUGAGAGGAUGAUCAGCCACACUGGGACUGAGACACGGCCCAGACUCCUACGGGAGGCAGCAGUGGGGAAUUUUCCGCAAUGGGCGAAAGCCUGACGGAGCAAUACCGCGUGAGGGAGGAAGGCUCUUGGGUUGUAAACCUCUUUUCUCAAGGAAUAAGAUCUGAAGGUACUUGAGGAAUAAGCAUCGGCUAACUCCGUGCCAGCAGCCGCGGUAAUACGGAGGAUGCAAGCGUUAUCCGGAAUGAUUGGGCGUAAAGGGUCCGCAGGUGGCAUUGAAAGUCUGCUGUUAAAGAGUGAGGCUUAACCUCAUAAAAGCAGUGGAAACUACAAAGCUAGAGUGCGUUCGGGGUGGCAGGAAUUCGUGGUGUAGCGGUGAAAUCCCAGAGUUCUCUCACACGUGUGUUACGCGCACAAGGGGAUUAGAUNCCACUGUGUCUGGAUCGAGACGGUUCC
rnacentral:rRNA from 1 species